rnacentral:rRNA from 1 species
GACAGAGGGUGCAAACGUUGUUCGGAUUUACUGGGCGUAAAGCGCGUGUAGGCGGCUUCGCAAGUUGGAUGUGAAAUCCCACGGCUCAACCGUGGACGUGCAUCCAAAACUGCGUCGCUAGAGUCUCGGAGAGGAAGGUGGAAUGCUUGGUGUAGAGGUGAAAUUCGUAGAUAUCAAGCAGAACACCUGCGGCGAAGGCGGCCUUCUGGACGAUGACUGACGCUGAGACGCGAAAGCGUGGGGAGCAAACAGG